rnacentral:rRNA from 1 species
CCUGUAGCAAUACAGGUGGCGCACGGCGCACGGGUGCGUAACACGUGGGUAAUCUGCCCUCUGAUGGGGAAUAACUCGCCGAAAGGCGAGCUAAUUCCGCAUAACAUUCCGGGGACUUUGGUUCUUGGAUUCAAAGGCGUAAGUCGUCGGAGGAGGAGCCCGCGCACGAUUAGCUAGUUGGUGAGGUAAUGGCUCACCAAGGCUAUGAUCGUUAGCUGGUCUGAGAGGAUGGCCAGCCACACUGGAACUGAGACACGGUCCAGACUCCUACGGGAGGCAGCAGUGGGGAAUCUUGCACAAUGGGCGAAAGCCUGAUGCAGCGACGCCGCGUGGGGGAUGAAGCUUCUCGGAGUGUAAACCCCUUUCGACCCGGACGAAUACCUCGCAAGAGGGGUGACGGUACGGGUAUAAGAAGCCCCGGCUAACUACGUGCCAGCAGCCGCGGUAAGACGUAGGGGGCCAGCGUUGUUCGGAAUUACUGGGUGUAAAGGGUUCGUAGGCGGUGUGGCAAGUCGGGAGUGAAAUCUCUGGGCUCAACUCAGAGACUGCUUCCGAAACUGCUGUGCUUGAGUGUGGGAGAGGCGCGUGGAAUUGCAGGUGUAGCGGUGAAAUGCGUAGAUAUCUGCAGGAACACCCGUGGCGAAAGCGGCGCGCUGGACCACUACUGACGCUGAGGAACGAAAGCUAGGGGAGCAAACAGGAUUAGAUACCCUGGUAGUCCUAGCCCUAAACGAUCAGGACUUGGGGUGCCACCCGUUCGGGUGUCGUCCCGGAGCUAACGCGUUAAGUCCUGCACCUGGGGAGUACGGUCGCAAGACUG